GGCGAUGUGCGAGCUUUUCUUCCUGUUUUAUGCGUGGAUGUGUAGAGGCAGGUGGAGGGAGUCGGAGAGAAUGUGGGGCCAGCAACAACAUGGAAGGGACAGGCGGGAAGCCCACUGCUGUUGUUGCAGUUGUGACUGAGCCUCGAUUUACCCAGCAAUACAGGGAAUAUCUCGAGAAGCAGAAACUCCUGGAUCGACAACACCGUGUGAAAAAGCUGCGGGAUGGCACCGUGGCGCUACCGGUUCUGAGGGAGGCCCUCCUUGAGCAGCAUCUGCAGGAGCUGAGGAAUCGUGUGGCUCCAGGCAGCACCUGUGUGCUGACGCAGCUCCUGGAUCCUGUUCCUUCAAAGAAGGCCCAGAGUUACUCACCUGCCCAAAGGCUGUGUCUUGAGGUGAGUCGCUGGGUAGAGGGCCGCGGAGUGACGUGGUCGGCCGAGUUGGAGGCUGACCUGCCCCGAUCUUGGCAACGACACGGUGACCUCUUGUUGCUGAGUGAGGACUGUUUCCAAGGCAAGCAAUGGAGACAUCUGGAGCCAGAACUCUGGGAGACGGUUGCCUCGGCACUUGGCGUCCAGCGUUUGGCCAAACGAGGGCGGGUGUCCCCGGAUAGCACUCGGACUCCAGCGGUGAGGAUGCUGCUGGGCAACCACGGCUGGGUAGAGCAUGUGGAUAAUGGGAUUCGGUAUAAGUUUGACGUGACCCAGUGCAUGUUCUCCUUCGGAAACAUCACUGAGAAGCUUCGUGUGGCGUCGCUGCCCUGCGCCGGAGAAGUGCUGGUGGAUCUCUAUGCGGGGAUUGGUUAUUUUACCUUGCCUUUCCUAGUUCAUGCCGAGGCUGCUUUCGUCCAUGCUUGUGAGUGGAAUCCCCAUGCAGUAGUUGCUCUGAGAAAUAACCUUGAACUCAAUGGAGUAGCUGAUCGAUGCCAAAUACACUUUGGGGAUAACAGAAAACUGAAGCUAUCAAACGUUGCGGACCGGGUGAAUCUGGGGCUGAUUCCCAGCUCUGAAGAAGGCUGGCCCAUUGCCUGCCGAUUGCUAAAACAGGAUGCUGGAGGCAUUUUGCAUAUUCACCAAAAUGUGGAGUCUUUCCCAGGGAAGACUCUCCAGCCUCCUGGAAGCAGUGAGAUAGAAGAGCAUUGGCCUUCUCCUCAGCAGAUUAUCAGCAACCAGUUGAAAAAUGGAGCUACCAGUGAUUCUAGGAGGAAAACACUGUCAGUGGCUACCAAGCCAGAGUGGCAGAGGUGGGCCGAAGCUGCAGAGACUCGAAUUGCCACUCUUCUUCAUCAGGUGCAUGGAAAACCGUGGAAGACACAAAUCUUGCACAUCCAACCAGUGAAAUCCUAUGCUCCCCACGUGGAUCACAUAGUCCUGGAUUUGGAAUGCCGCCCCUGUCCUCUAGUUGGCUAGAGGAGGUGGAUCCUGAGAUGGGAGGAUCUACUUGUGAGUCACCCUGAAAGCAUCAGCUCAGGCUGGAUCUCACCCCUCUUGUCUCCUGUUUUCUCCAAGCACUUGCUGGAUGGCCUGACCCAGAAGAGAUGUGUAACUGAACCAAGGAAAGACUAAAGGAGUCAGGAGGCUCACAGAGUCCUUACAGAUUCAAUCCAGGAAUUUGUAGAAGCGCUAAAGCUUUCCUUUGCAGGUGUCAGUAUUAGUUGCUGAUUAAUGCUCCCACUUGAUGGAGAAGUUGUGAUUAAAAAGCAAUGAUUUUAUCAAACUCUUAACCAUGAACUGUAUUCAUUAACUCCAUAAUUUUAAUAAAUUAUAUACUUGUAUUAAUAUAUUAGUAUCAUGUAUAACUUUAAUUAUGCAAAUUAAAAAUGAUGAGAAACUAGUAUGUAGAAAAGUUUUGGGUUUUUUUUCCCAAUUUAAACCACAUCUUUAGUGAUUUUUUUUUAAGUAUAAUGGAUGGCAUUAGGUUUUUUAAUAAUUAUUCCAUUUUGCAUAGUACAUUUGAUAUACAUUAAUGAAAAACAUGAAUCAGGAUUUAACUGGACCGGAAAUAUAGGGCUUAUGAGAUCAUUUUUCUCUUAGAAAAAGCGUUUUUAAUUUCAGUUUUUCCCACCCUGAAUGCACAUAUGAGAAGAAACUCAAUAUAUGUCAUUCUGAACAGCCUCAGGGUGCAGCCACUUCACACUGGACAAGCCAUUAAAAUAGUCAUUUUCAAGCUGAACUAUUAUUUUAAAUGAUUAAAACUAUUUUCAUAUUUCUAAAAACAUUUUUGAGUUUUGUUCUGGAAUAGUUAAGUUACUUGAACAGUUUGAUCUUUUUGAAUCUUGUUUUUGAGCAUUUGUCAGAGCAGCAUUUAGUCUGGGAUGAAUUUUUUUCCAUCAUGAAGCAAGACCUUUCUUCAUUCUCUGACUGAUGCCUUGUGAAUUAGGACAUUUGCCACUCUUACUGGUAGGAACAAGAAUUACCCAGCACCCUGUGUGUGUGAGCUCUGAGUAUUGUCUCCUGUAAUCCUUUCGGAUGGUUCUUCUGUUGGCCUUUGGUAGUUUCCUGUCACGUGGGGGGGGUCAUUACUCAGCUGAAUGCCUUUAGGGCCUGGUCAGCAGAUCUCUAGAGUUCUCUCUGUGUGUGCCUCUCUGCUUCCUGGCAUUCUGCCCUGUGAACUCUAUAGUUACCUGGGCUCCCAGGACUCUGAGUCCCAUCUCCUCACCACAGGGAGUCUGCUGACCUCCCCUCGCUUCUUGUGCCACAGCCUAGAACACUUCUCCAGGCAGUGGACCGAAGCAACUGUAUGGCUCACUUUGUUUUCCAGUUCUCGUGGACAUUGCCCCCUUCAUCGCCUAUGUCCAGUGGCUUGCGUUGUUUCAUAAAUUCUGUCUAGUUUUUUUAAACUAUUUAGAAGUUUACAAUAAUUGUUUUGUACGUAAAUGUACAGCUUUCACAAUCAUUGCAGAAAUUCACUCUAGCAAUAAUAAAUAUACAUAACGCA